UCAAGUUAUUAAGGGUGCAGGGCGGAUGCCUUGGCACUAGGAGCCGAUGAAGGACGUGAUAAGCUGCGAUAAGCUUCGGGGAGUUGCACGUAAACUUUGAUCCGAAGAUUUCCGAAUGAGGAAACUCACUUAGAGUAAUGUCUAAGUAUCAUUAAGUGAAUACAUAGCUUAAUGAGGGGAACUCAGGGAACUGAAACAUCUAAGUACCUGAAGGAAGAGAAAGAAAUUCGAUUCCGUAAGUAGCGGCGAGCGAACGCGGAUUAGCCCAAACCAAUAAAGUUUUCUUUAUUGGGGUUGCGGACAUAUCAUAACGAAGAGGUAUCGUAAUUGAAGAGGUUUGGAAAGACCCACCACAGAAGGUAAUAGUCCUGUAUGUUAAACGAGAAGACUUUAGAUAUGAUCCAGAGUACCACGGGACACGUGAAACCCUGUGGGAAGCAGGAGGGACCACCCUCCAAGGCUAAAUACUACCUAGUGACCGAUAGCGUAUAGUACCGUGAGGGAAAGGUGAAAAGAACCCCGGGAGGGGAGUGAAAUAGAACCUGAAACCCUGCACUUACAAGCUGUGGAAGCACAUUUCUUGUGUGACCGCGUACUUUUUGUAGAACGGGCCAACGAGUUACGUUAAGUAGCAAGGUUAAGCACUUAAGGUGCGGAGCCGUAGCGAAAGCGAGUUUUAACUGAGCGUUCAGUUACUUGACGUAGACCCGAAACCGGGCGACCUACCCAUGAGCAGGAUGAAGCGAAAGUAAAAUUUCGUGGAGGUCCGAACCCACGAGCGUUGAAAAGCUCGGGGAUGACUUGUGGGUAGCGGUGAAAUUCCAAUCGAGCCCGGAGAUAGCUGGUUCUCCCCGAAAUAGCUUUAGGGCUAGCCUCAAGGUGAGAGAUACGGAGGUAGAGCACUGAAUGUCCUAGGGGGUAUUGCACCUACCGAAGACUAUCAAACUCCGAAUGCCGUCAUCUUAUACUUGGGAGUCAGACUGUGGGUGAUAAGAUUCAUAGUCGAAAGGGCAACAGCCCAGAUCGUCAGCUAAGGUCCCUAAAUGUAAGUUAAGUGGUAAAGGAUGUGGGAUUGCACAGACAACCAGGAUGUUGGCUUAGAAGCAGCCACUCAUUCAAAGAGUGCGUAAUAGCUCACUGGUCGAGUGAUCCUGCGCCGAAGAUUUCCGGGGCUAAAACUUACUACCGAAGCUACGGCAUCAGUAAUGAUGGGUAGGGGAGCUUCCCAUACGGGUUGAAGCAUGACCGUAAGGACAUGUGGACAGUAUGGGAGUGAGAAUGUUGGCAUGAGUAGCGAGAUGUGGGUGAGAAUCCCACAGGCCGUAAACCCAAGGUUUCCAGGGGAAGGUUCGUCCGCCCUGGGUUAGUCGGGACCUAAGCUGAGGCCGAAAGGCGUAGGUGAUGGACAACAGGUUGAUAUUCCUGUACUACCGAUAACCGUUUGAGAGAAGGGAUGACACAGUAGGAUAAGCUAAGCACACUGUUGGUUAUGUGUGCCCAAGCAUUGAGGCAGUCAAAGUAGGUAAAUCCGCUUUGAUAAUGCUGGGAUGUGAUGGGGAGCGAAAUUUAGUAGCGAAGUAGCUGAUUUCACACUGUCAAGAAAAGUCUCUAUCGAGGUUAAAGGUACCCGUACCGCAAACCGACACAGGUGGGUGAGGAGAGUAUCCUAAGGCCAGCGAGAGAACUGUUGUUAAGGAACUCGGCAAAAUGACCCCGUAACUUAGGGAUAAGGGGUGCCACCAUCAGGUGGCCGCAGAGAAUAGGCCCAAGCGACUGUUUACCAAAAACAUAGGUUUCUGCUAAGUCGCAAGACGAUGUAUAGGAGCUGACGCCUGCCCGGUGCUGGAAGGUUAAGGGGAUCUGUUAGAGCAAUCGAAGCAGUGAACUUAAGCCCCAGUAAACGGCGGCCGUAACUAUAACGGUCCUAAGGUAGCGAAAUUCCUUGUCGGGUAAGUUCCGACCCGCACGAAAGGCGUAACGAUUUGGGCACUGUCUCAACAACAGACUCGGUGAAAUUGUAAUUCCGGUGAAGAUGCCGGAUACCUGCGACAGGACGGAAAGACCCCAUGGAGCUUUACUGUAGCUUGACAUUGGGUCUUGGUACUACAUGUACAGGAUAGGUGGGAGGCUUUGAAACCAGGACGCCAGUUUUGGCGGAGCCAUCCUUGGGAUACCACCCUUGUAGUACUGGGACUCUAACCAUAGGCCAUGAAUCUGGUCUUGGGACACUGUCAGGUGGGCAGUUUGACUGGGGCGGUCGCCUCCCAAAAGGUAACGGAGGCGCUCAAAGGUUCUCUCAGUACGGUCGGAAAUCGUACGUAGAGUGUAAAGGCAAAAGAGAGCUUGAUUGCAAGACAUACAGGUCGAGCAAGGAUGAAAAUCGGACUUAGUGAUCCGGUGGUUCUGCGUGGAAGGGCCAUCGCUCAACGGAUAAAAGCUACCCUGGGGAUAACAGGCUUAUCUCCCCCAAGAGUCCACAUCGACGGGGAGGUUUGGCACCUCGAUGUCGGCUCAUCACAUCCUGGGGCUGUAGUAGGUCCCAAGGGUUGGGCUGUUCGCCCAUUAAAGUGGUACGCGAGCUGGGUUCAGAACGUCGUGAGACAGUUCGGUCCCUAUCCGUCGCAGGCGUAGGAAAUUUGAGAAGACCUGUCCUUAGUACGAGAGGACCGGGAUGGACGUACCUCUGGUGUACCAGUUGUCCUGCCAAGGGCAUGGCUGGGUAGCUAUGUACGGAAUGGAUAAGCGCUGAAAGCAUCUAAGCGCGAAGCCAACUUCAAGAUAAGAUUUCCCACCGCAAGGGUAAGACCCCAGAAAGACUAUCUGGUUGAUAGGUCGAAGGUGUAAGUGCAGCAAUGUAUUUAGCUUAUCGAUACUAAUAGGUCGAGGACUUGACCAA
rnacentral:rRNA from 1 species